UACGUAGGCAGCAAGCGUUGUUCGGAGUUACUGGGCGUAAAGAGUGCGUAGGUGGUUCUUUAAGUUCGGUGUGAAAUCUCCCGGCUCAACUGGGAGGGUGCGCCGGAAACUGGAGUGCUCGAGCGUGGGAGAGGAAAGCGGAAUUCCUGGUGUAGCGGUGAAAUGCGUAGAUAUCAGGAGGAACACCUGCGGUGUAGACGGCUUUCUGGACCAUAGCUGACGCUGAGACACGAAAGCGUGGGUAGCAAACAGG
rnacentral:rRNA from 1 species